rnacentral:rRNA from 1 species
UAACCUGCCCAAGAGAUCGGGAUAACACCUGGAAACAGAUGCUAAUACCGGAUAACAACAGAUGAUGCCUAUCAACUGUUUAAAAGAUGGUUCUGCUAUCACUCUUGGAUGGACCUGCGGUGCAUUAGCUAGUUGGUAGGGUAACGGCCUACCAAGGCGAUGAUGCAUAGCCGAGUUGAGAGACUGAUCGGCCACAUUGGGACUGAGACACGGGCCCAAACUCCUACGGGAGGGCAGCAGCU